UGCAUGAGACGAUCUGGUUCAGACAUUCCAGCACAGAUUAAGCACUCUAGGAGAACAUGACUCCUUGAAUGAGAGCAGUUACUUAACUGAUCUCCCCAUUCAGCAAGUGAUGUACCACAAAAUUGAAAAAUAAUGAAGCACAGUCUUCUACAUUUUUUGUUUUUUUGCUGGAAAUAUGGAAAAGCACUAUGGCUAAUGGAAGGACUUGAUGCCAGUGAUCUGACCCUUCAGCUAAGCCAUCCAGCUCCACUCUUCUCUCUGAUGGCAGUGGACCCAGCCCACGGCACCGCCCCACUUCUUCAGAAGGGACCCAGCCCAUGGUACUGCCCCCACUUCCAGCAUCACCUGCAGGGCCUGAGCCAGUAUUCUUUGUGUGCCAUCCAUUUUCUGCCUUUCCUUAGAUGAAUCCAAAUAGUAAUUGAUUUUGUUAUUCUGAGAAUCCUAGAAUCCUGGUGUUGGAUGAAGGCUUACAGAUCAGCCACUUCACAAAUUUCUCCCAGCAUGAAGAACUGAGUAUUGCUUGAACAUGUUUUGAAGAAGCACUCUUUCCUCUUCUAGGCUUUCUAUUCCAUGUUUGUUUAUUGUCUCACACCACUCAAGAAACGGGGCUACAGUGGUAAACAAAAUUGCCGCUGCAGAGCUUGGAAUUGAGUACAGAAGAAGAAUUACCACAUAAUUGCAAAGAUGUUAAAAGUUCAUCAGCAUUGUUCACUACCCUCUUUCCUAGGUUGAAUCUGAAUCAAACCCACAUGUCGUGAACACCCACUCAUGUCUUCAUCUGCCUGCUGAAACUUCCAGGUGGUAUUCUUUUAUAUGAUGGCUCCUGGGCACGGUAAAUGAGUUCUUGCCCAUUUCAGGGGUUUUAUUUCUUUAACUCCCACAGCCCUGAGACCUUGACGGGAGUUGACUACUCCAUAAAUGCCUGGCUCCAUCAGGAAUGUCAGCUUUGGUCAUUGUAGCUGGACUUUGGACCUAGCUGAAGUUGCAGAGACUACUGGCAUGCAAAUUAGUCCUUUAAUAUGUUGAAGAAUAGAUGAGAGACAUUUUGCAAGAUUUCAAAUGAGAAAAAAAUAAUGUGAACUACCUGCCACUAUGACUGUUUUCAUAUGAAAAACUUUAGUAAGGAACAUGAGAGCUAAAAGUUGUAAACUUUAUGAUGGAAUAGUUUUACAUAAUACUUUUGUUAAAACUAUGAAGGCACAAAAAAUUACACCAAAAUUCAUAAAAGUGAUUACAAAUAGGGAGAAGAGGGGCCAUAGGUAGAAAAAAUAAAAUUAUAAUGUGCAAAUGUUAUAUUGCUUUUAUUUUGUACCAUUGAAUGCAUUAACUAUUCACAAUUCCAUGAAUUUUUAAAAUUAUGUUGAUUAUCAUCAUAUAAAAUUGGUUUAAAAAAAGCA
rnacentral:lncRNA from 1 species